AACGGACGCUGGCGGCAUGCCUAACACAUGCAAGUCGAACGAGACCUUCGGGUCUGGUGGCGCACGGGUGCGUAAAGGGGGGGAACCUGCCCUGAGGUUCGGAAUAACGCCGGGGAAGGGGUGCUGAUACCGGAUAAUGUCCUCGGACCAAAGAUUUAAUGCCUUUGGAUGGGCGGGCAUUGGAUUAGCCAGUUGGUAGGGUAAACGCCUACCAAGGCGGCGAUCGGUAGAUGGUCAGAGAGGCUGGGCAGACACACUGGGGCUGGGACGCGGCCCGGACUCCUGCGGGAGGCAGCCGUGCGGAAUAUUGCACAAUGGGGGAAAGCAUGAUCCAGCACUGGCGCGUGAGUGAUGAAGGCCUUAGGGUUGUAACGCUCUUUAACCCGGGAUGAUAAUGACAGUACCGGGAGAAUAAGCUCCGGCUAACUCCGUG
rnacentral:rRNA from 1 species